UGGGGAAUAUUGCACAAUGGGGGAAACCCUGAUGCAGCGACGCCGCGUGAAGGAAGAAGUAUUUCGGUAUGUAAACUUCUAUCAGCAGGGAAGAAGAUGACGGUACCUGAGUAAGAAGCACCGGCUAAAUACGUGCCAGCAGCCGCGGUAAUACGUAUGGUGCAAGCGUUAUCCGGAUUUACUGGGUGUAAAGGGAGCGUAGACGGAUAGGCAAGUCUGGAGUGAAAACCCAGGGCUCAACUCUGGGACUGCUUUGGAAACUGCAGAUCUGGAGUGCCGGAGGGGUAAGCGGAAUUCCUAGUGUAGCGGUGAAAGGCGUGGAUAUUAAGAGGAACACCAGUGGCGAAGGCGGCUUACUGGACGGUGACUAACGUUGAGGCUCGAAAGCGUGGGGAGCAAACAGG
rnacentral:rRNA from 1 species